rfam:Lipomyces starkeyi NRRL Y-11557 unplaced genomic scaffold LIPSTscaffold_5, whole genome shotgun sequence.
GCGUUAGUGGUUUAGCGGUAAAAUUCGUCGUUGCCAUCGACGAGCCCCCGGUUCGACUCCGGGCUGACGCA